GACUCUUUCGGGCCUCUGUUCACUGUGGGCGCCGCUCGCCGUCUCCCUCCCGGCCUUUUCUGCCGCAGCCGAAGCCGCCGCCUCCUUCUCUUCCUCCUCCAUCUCGAGCUCGUGUUGCUCGGCUCGCAGCUGGUCUGUUCCCGAAGGGGAGAUCCCAGGCCUCCGACCGCCAUGUCCCGCUAUACGCGGCCUCCCAACACCUCGCUCUUCGUCAGGAACGUGGCGGACGCCACUAGGCCUGAGGAUUUGCGCCGUGAAUUUGGUCGAUAUGGCCCUGUAGUAGACGUAUACAUUCCGCUUGACUUCUACACAAGACGCCCACGAGGAUUUGCUUAUAUACAGUUUGAAGAUGUUCGUGAUGCAGAAGAUGCUCUUUAUAACCUCAAUAGAAAGUGGGUAUGUGGCCGGCAAAUUGAAAUACAGUUUGCACAAGGGGAUCGCAAAACCCCAGGUCAGAUGAAGUCAAAAGAACGUCGCCAAUGUUCUCCAAUGGAUUACAGAAGAUCAAGAAGCCGCAGCCGAAGGAGGACACGUAGCCGAAGUUCAUCAUGGGGCUGGAGUAGAAGACACUCUGACAGCUUUAAAGAGCAUUCCAGCUCACCAAGACGAUCAAUCACACCUCAAAGAAAUUCUACCUCUCGAGGAAGAUCGCGGUCAAAAUCAAUGCAGAGAUGUUCAAAAUAUGCUGAGAAAUCGCCCUCCAGCUCCCAUCGAAGACGUUCUACUUCAAGGACAAAGUCACGCUCACAUCCAAAGCGCUCAGGUUCAGUGACCAGAUCGCUAUCUAAAUCUCCACGAAAACAUGCCAACUCCAGUUCUCGUUCUAGAAGUUUCUAUCAGAGAAAUAGUAACCAGUCAGUAUCUGAAGAAGAUUAAUGUGUUUUUCUAACAGUUUUUUAUGAGCACAAAUUAAGAACAAAAUUUGUCCAAAUGUACCUGAAAUGUAAGAUAAUUGAUUAAUGAGAGGUGUUGCUAUGUUCUUUGGGUCCAUAUUUUAAUAAGCAGAGCUCUUCAAAAUUUGCUAGCAUUAAAUAAACAUUUAUUUAGCCUAGAUUAGUUUCUCUUAACAAUACAAUUUGAACCUAGGCUCACUCUACUGGUAUAAGCUAGCAUUAUGCUCUGCUCUUAAAUCAAGUUUUCUUUUUUGGACAGAAUUGUCUUUGGACCUUUCUUUCAAAUCUUUGGAACAGCAAGAAAUUUAUGCUACUGUAAUUUUGUACUGGCUUAAGGGUUCACACAGGUCUGUCUGGUACUUUGUAGUGGAGUUGGAAGGGAAAGCCUUUGUCUACCCAUUUCUACUUACUUUAGUAGGUAUUGCAGUAUAGUUGUGUCAGCCAGAAAUAUGGAGAUGCUGAUGGAUCAGAUUUUCCAUUCCACCAAUGCAAGUCAUUCCCCCUCCCCCUGAAAUUUCCAAGCAACAUUUAAGAGGAGAUGAGCAUGCAGAAGAACCAUAACCAACAAAGUUCUUAUGGUCUCAGGUUGCUUGAAAGGACUGGUGCCAUAUAGGGGAAAUUCUGCAGUGUUCUUCUUAUUGUGAGUGUUAGCUUUUGAAGAUUAAUGCUGUCAUGAAGAGCUCUUACACUAGAGACAUUCCCCCAAGCUGUUUUGCAUUGUUGGGAAUGUUACAACCAUUUCCUUUCUACAUCUCUCCAAGAUGAUGCAUGGAUGGAACGGAAAUAACUUAUUUUAUUUCAGAACUUAGUAGUCUGAUACAGCAGACAUGCACUUAGAAUUAACUGAGUUCACAAUUCUUAUAUAUGAACAUAACCUCUGGUUAUCCCCAGAAUUCCUUUAUUAGCAGCAUAACUUGGAUUGGGAGUUAUUUUGUUACUGCUUGUUAAACAGGUGUGACAUUACAAGUGUGACCUGAUUGGCAAACCAGAAGCCUGGUAGCUUACGUGCUUCAUUUAUUAUUGGCCAACUUUGGUCAUUGAGAUAGCACAAACUUGUAUGUGACUAUUCUGAAGUAAUCCUCAGUAAUGUUAUUGAAGGUGAUGAUCAUUUAUCGCUAAAUCAGAAUGACAUGCUGCUAAAUUCAAUUAAAUCACUGUUAUGAUUUGGUAUGUACAUAUAUACCACCCUCUCAGCUUUGUAAGACAGGAAGCAGUUCCAGAUAAACUAAUUCUACUUUAUUACAUAAUCUUUCAAGUCUGAAAGUACAUUUCUCUUGGUUGCUUUUACAGCCCCAGAAAUUAGGGAGAGGAUCCCUUCUAAGAGGUUUGCAACACCCACACUCCUGUGGGCUAACUGCUCCUCUGGGUAUGGCUCUUCUCUGUUUCCCAGUCAUUCCCACUGACCUUUCGGGCUCAGUUUGUAGCUCUGUGCUCUUUUAUGGGAAAGGGCAGAUCUUUGGAGAAGCCUCAAACUUCCUUAAUCUCUCUCUAAAAAAAACAAAAAAAUCCUACCAUGUUUCUCCCUGCCCAUUGUCACUCUGGGACUGUAACUGGGGUGCUGGGAAUAAGGUGAUACCUGUGGAUUACUCAUCAACCAGCAAGACUAUGGUUUAUUUGUUAACUAUAGAUAUGCAAGUGUUACGUAAACACAGUCUGUGUAUGAAAUAAGAGGCAGCCAAUGCAUAUAGCUCCUGCAAUCACCUGUAUUUACUCUUAACCAUGAGAAUACUUCUUUCUUUUCCUCAUCAUUUAAACAAAUUGCAAAGUAGGAUUGCCCGAUAAAUUGUAUUUUACAUUCCCGAGGACUGAGAGAAAUAGCAGAAAGGCUGCAUUAGGCACUGUUUUUUUCAAAGCACUUUAUCAGACAAUAUUACAAAACUUUAAAUUUUUGCAAUUACCUCAUGUGUAUAGUAAUUAUUAUAGACAGGGCUGGGCAAAAUCUUGACAAAUAAAAAAAACUCUAUGAACCUAAGCAUAAAUCUAUGAGCUGAAGCAGAUAUCAUCUUGAUUCACCCCAGCUGUUGAAUUCAGAAAAAGCUGAAAUCAAAAUGAAUUCAGGUGAGGUUAAGCUAUAAAACAGUAUAAGCAAUUUGCAGUCUGUGGACUAUUUGUAACCCUCAACCCUUUUAUUUUUAAAAAAUACCCGAGCCUACAAAAAUGGCCUUGUAUGCCUUGAAAUAAGCUUAACAGUCAAAAAUGCAAAGAAACUUGCAAGGUGUCUCCUGAAAGGCAGGGCUAGGGAUAAUAGGACAACAACUGUAGCCAGGAUUUUGUCCACUCUUUUCCCAUAGGCAUCAGACUGCAUUCCUAGACAGCAUCUCUGAUAUGAGUAGAUCUUUCUUCUAGGGUCAUAGAUAACCAUCUGCAAUUAUGUGCUGAUGAAAUUGAAGCUGCCUCCUACUCAUCUUCCUUCAAAUUGGGCAUGACUCAAAUCACGCAGUCUCCUAGGCAAAUUUUCAGAAGUGAGUUGCCAUUGCCUUCUUCCCAAGGCUAAGGGAUGGUGACUGGCUUACAGUUACCCAAUUGGCUUUUUGUUGAGGAACCCAGAAAUGAUGGAAAACAGCUUCUUUGGCAUUAGCUUCUUUUUGUUUUCUCUGCAAUUUUUACUUAUACCCAAUUUGGUUUCUUCUGUUUCUUGUUCUUUGGCAAUGUCUUUUCAUAUUCACUGAUAAUGGUUUUAUUUCAUACUGUAGUUUGUCUGGUAACUGAUUCACUAUCAGUGGAGUUCAAGAUUUCAAAGCAAUUCCUGAUAUUCUCUUUGAAAAUGGUUAUAAGCUUAAGAUCAUAUCGUGGAAAUUGGUUGUAGUUCGUGAUCUAUUCCAUAGUCUGUCUACAUGAGCAAUUCAUGAUCUUUACUGUAGAACUGAGCUGUUCCAAUGCCUUGUACCAAUAAUAUUGUCAGUUUGAUUUCUAUGUAACCCCAAUGGUGUCCAUGUACGUAGGUGGUGUUCUGAUUGUUUGAAGAUCAUUUGGCUUUUUAAAAAUUCAUUGAAACAGUUAAAA